UUAAGGGCGCACGGUGGAUGCCUUGGCACCAGGAACCGAUGAAGGACGUGGGAGGCCACGAUAGGCCCCGGGGAGUCGUCAACCAGGCUUUGAUCCGGGGGUGUCCGAAUGGGGAAACCCGGCAGUCGUCAUGGGCUGUCACCCGCUGCUGAACACAUAGGCAGUGUGGAGGGAACGCGGGGAAGUGAAACAUCUCAGUACCCGCAGGAAGAGAAAACAACCGUGAUUCCGGGAGUAGUGGCGAGCGAAACCGGAUGAGGCCAAACCGUAUACGUGUGAGACCCGGCAGGGGUUGCGUGUGCGGGGUUGUGGGAUCUCUCUUCUGUUGUCUGCCGGCAACAGGACGAGUCAGAAACCGUUGAUGUAGGCGAAGGACAUGCGAAAGGUCCGGCGUAGAGGGUAAGACCCCCGUAGUCGAAACGUCAGCGGCUCGUUUGAGAGACACCCAAGUAGCACGGGGCCCGAGAAAUCCCGUGUGAAUCUGGCGGGACCACCCGCUAAGCCUAAAUAUUCCCUGGUGACCGAUAGCGGAUAGUACCGUGAGGGAAUGGUGAAAAGUACCGCGGGAGCGGAGUGAAAUAGUACCUGAAACCGUGUGCCUACAAGCCGUGGGAGCGUCGGGCAUCAAGCUUGCUUGGUGUCUCGUGACUGCGUGCCUUUUGAAGAAUGAGCCUGCGAGUUUGCGGUGUGUUGCGAGGUUAACCCGGGUGGGGAAGCCGUAGCGAAAGCGAGUCCGAACAGGGCGAUUUUAGUAGCACGCUCAAGACCCGAAGCGGAGUGAUCUAGCCAUGGGCAGGUUGAAGCGGCUGUAAGAGGUCGUGGAGGACCGAACCCACCAGGGUUGAAAACCUGGGGGAUGACCUGUGGUUAGGGGUGAAAGGCCAAUCAAACUCCGUGAUAGCUGGUUCUCCCCGAAAUGCAUUUAGGUGCAGCGUCGUGUGUUUCUUGCCGGAGGUAGAGCACUGGAUAGGCGAUGGGCCCUACCGGGUUACUGACCUUAGCCAAACUCCGAAUGCCGGUAAGUGAGAGCGCGGCAGUGAGACUGUGGGGGAUAAGCUCCAUGGUCGAGAGGGAAACAGCCCAGAGCAUCGACUAAGGCCCCUAAGCGUACGCUAAGUGGGAAAGGAUGUGGAGUCGCACAGACAACCAGGAGGUUGGCUUAGAAGCAGCCACCCUUGAAAGAGUGCGUAAUAGCUCACUGGUCUAGUGAUUCCGCGCCGACAAUGUAGCGGGGCUCAAGCGUACCGCCGAAGUCGUGUCAUUGCAGCAAUACGGCCAACGCCGGCUGUGAUGGGUAGGGGAGCGUCGUGUGCCGGGUGAAGCAGCCGCGGAAGCGAGUUGUGGACGGUUCACGAGUGAGAAUGCAGGCAUGAGUAGCGAUACAAACGUGAGAAACGUUUGCGCCGAUUGACUAAGGGUUCCUGGGUCAAGCUGAUCUGCCCAGGGUAAGUCGGGACCUAAGGCGAGGCCGACAGGCGUAGUCGAUGGAUAACCGGUUGAUAUUCCGGUACCCGCUGUGAAGCGUCAAACAUCGAGCAUCGUGAUGCUAAGGCCGUGAAGCCGCCCUGAUCUCUUCGGAGUUGAGGGGAGUGGUGGAGCCGCCGAACCAAGCGGUUAGUAGGUGAGUGAUGGGGUGACGCAGGAAGGUAGUCCAUCCCGGGCGGUGGUUGUCCCGGGGUAAGGGUGUAGGACGUCAGGUAGGUAAAUCCGCCUGGCAAUAGUCUGAGACCUGAUGCCGAGCCGAUUGUGGUGAAGUGGAUGAUCCUAUGCUGUCGAGAAAAGCCUCUAGCGAGUUUCAUGGCGGCCCGUACCCUAAACCGACUCAGGUGGUCAGGUAGAGAAUACCGAGGCGUUCGGGUGAACUAUGGUUAAGGAACUCGGCAAAAUGCCCCCGUAACUUCGGGAGAAGGGGGGCCACACCUGGUGACGAGUUUUACACUCCGAGCUGGGGGUGGCCGCAGAGACCAGCGAGAAGCGACUGUUUACUAAAAACACAGGUCCGUGCGAAGCCGUAAGGCGAUGUAUACGGACUGACGCCUGCCCGGUGCUGGAACGUUAAGGGGACCGGUUAGUCACAUUUCGGUGUGGCGAAGCUGAGAACUUAAGCGCCAGUAAACGGCGGUGGUAACUAUAACCAUCCUAAGGUAGCGAAAUUCCUUGUCGGGUAAGUUCCGACCUGCACGAAUGGCGUAACGACUUCUCGACUGUCUCAACCAUAGGCCCGGUGAAAUUGCACUACGAGUAAAGAUGCUCGUUUCGCGCAGCAGGACGGAAAGACCCCGGGACCUUUACUACAGUUUGAUAUUGGUGUUCGGUUCGGCUUGUGUAGGAUAGCUGGGAGACUUUGAAGCUCGCACGCCAGUGUGGGUGGAGUCGUCGUUGAAAUACCAGUCUGGUCGUGCUGGAUGUCUAACCUGGGUCCGUGAUCCGGAUCAGGGACAGUGUCUGAUGGGUAGUUUAACUGGGGCGGUUGCCUCCUAAAGAGUAACGGAGGCGCCCAAAGGUUCCCUCAGCCUGGUUGGCAAUCAGGUGUUGAGUGUAAGUGCACAAGGGAGCUUGACUGUGAGACCGACGGGUCGAGCAGGGACGAAAGUCGGGACUAGUGAUCCGGCGGUGGCUUGUGGAAGCGCCGUCGCUCAACGGAUAAAAGGUACCCCGGGGAUAACAGGCUGAUCUUCCCCAAGAGUCCAUAUCGACGGGAUGGUUUGGCACCUCGAUGUCGGCUCGUCGCAUCCUGGGGCUGGAGUCGGUCCCAAGGGUUGGGCUGUUCGCCCAUUAAAGCGGUACGCGAGCUGGGUUUAGAACGUCGUGAGACAGUUCGGUCCCUAUCCGCUGUGCGCGUAGGAGUCUUGAGAAGGGCUGUCCCUAGUACGAGAGGACCGGGACGGACGAACCUCUGGUGUGCCAGUUGUUCUGCCAAGGGCAUGGCUGGUUGGCUACGUUCGGGAGGGAUAACCGCUGAAAGCAUCUAAGCGGGAAGCCUGCUUCGAGAUGAGGACUCCCACCCCCUUGAGGGGUUAAGGCUCCCAGUAGACGACUGGGUUGAUAGGCCGGAUCUGGAAGCACCGUGAGGUGUGGAGGUGACCGGUACUAAUAGGCCGAGGGCUUGUCCU
rnacentral:rRNA from 1 species